rnacentral:rRNA from 1 species
GACAGAGGAUGCAAGCGUUAUCCGGAAUGAUUGGGCGUAAAGCGUCUGUAGGUGGCUUUUUAAGUCUGCCGUCAAAUCCCAGGGCUUAACCCUGGACAGGCGGUGGAAACUACCAAGCUGGAGUACGGUAGAGGGGGAUGGAAUUCCGCGUGUAGCAGUGAAAUGCGUAGAUAUGCGGAGGAACACCGAUGGCGAAGGCAAUCCCCUGGACCUGUACUGACGCUCAUGCACGAAAGCGUGGGGAGCAAACGGG